CCUCGGACUCAACUUUUUGCAGAGAUGGACUGGGGCCACAAAGGACACAAACAUCCACACCAGGAACCAACUGGAAGGUGGGCGGGAAAGAAGAAGAGGAGAUCCCACAGAGCAAUUUUACCCAACAAACAUUCUCGCGAUUACACAGAUUUGAAGCAGCUGGUAUUAAAGCCGUGCUGCCUUAUCAUGGGGCAACACGGUACAUGAUAGUUUGUAUAUAAAUGGGCGUGCCUGCGUCAAUAGUCCACGCCUCUCAUGAUAUCCUUCUGGGAUGAAACAUGCAAGGCUGGCCAAUGCAAGCACGCUGAAAGCCGCGGAAUUUAUACAUCAUGAAGUCUGUUUUUCUACACCUGUAAGUAGACUACAAUAAAGAAUUGUGUUUUUUUACCUUA